GUGGGAAAUAAGUCAAAAAGACUUUCCUGGUCAUAAAAACAAUAAUCUGAAGAGCUACUGGUCAGAUUUUUGUCUCUAAACUCUUGGUGACCUUCUCUGUAACUUCACGGCUUAUUCUGGUUCAAUAUCCAAGAAUUACAUUGUGAGAUUUUGACUUUAAUAAUAACCUUUUAUCUUUUUCAUUUUUUUUAAUAGAAAUGAACACUCUUCUGCACUUAUCUCAUUUUGCCUUUAAUUAAUGCCACAUUCCUAAAUAUUUUUUAUCUCAUGUAUUUUAAGUCCAAAAUUAUGCUUUACAAAAAUGUUGUCUGCAUUUCCCAAAUGUUCAUCUUUGCUAUUUAAUCUUGUAAUGGAAAAUUUUGAACCAGGCCUUUGUGUUUCAUUAUUGAUUUCACUGACUUCUAUUAAAAUAUAGCUUUAACAUGAAGGAAGGGGGGAGGGAUGAGAAAUCAGUGUAAGAAAGGGUGGUAUGCCAGCCAGAAAUAAUCAGUAUGAGAAUCAAAGGGAGAAGGGAGGAUUUAGAUGACAGCUGGAGUUUUGAGGGGGCGGUGAGGAAGCAGCACAUGGUGUGCAGUCAGACGUCUGUGGAAAUAGGAGGUAGGAGACAUGCAGAAUGGCAGGAGAGUGGGCACCAAAAGGUCAGCCAGUAGCUGACAAGGUAGAAAGAUUUGCUUUUCUCUUUCAUUCUUGUGAAGUUAGAGUCAGUGCCGAUGUUAUAUAUGGAGUGGUAAUUCCUGUCGAGAAAAUGAUUGAUAUUAAUAAAGAAGGGGGAGAUUUGGUAGCGUGGCCAUGGGGGUAAGAAAGCCCCGUGGUUGAGAUAACAUUAGACUCUUAACGAUGAGGCCAUCAGGAAUAUAGAAGAGUUUAGAGGGAACAAAGAAGGGUGAUUCAGGAGGCUCCAUGCAGUCUCCGGUUUCUUGUUCUCCAGCUGGUUUCUUGUUCUCCAGCCAUUAAGGCAUGGAAGUUUCUGUGUGUUUGCUGUUGUUGUUAUAUGCAAAGCUGUUUGACCGAUGAAAAGUUGUUUUGAAAAGAACUGCUGUGGAAAGAAGGGAAUAAGAGGGGAGCCUGCCCUCAAGAUAAAAAAAAAGGCAACGCGAUGUGAUGAAGCUUUAUGUCAUCAAUAGAGAAGCAGAAAGAAGGAAUGAAAAGGAACAGGCUAGCAGAACGGAGACCAGGACGGGAACAGGCACAUUGAUUGCCUCAUGAAGAUGGGUUCGGCCAAACUCAGCAAACCGCUCAAAGAAGCUCCUACAGAAAGUCGCUGGAAACAGGUGCACUGGAGCUGCGAAGAAGCUAAGUGGACCCGCGCACACAACUGCCCCUUG
rnacentral:lncRNA from 1 species